CAUCCCUGUGAAGAAUGCUUUGCAUGAUAAAAGUAGUGGACUGAUCUUCAUUGAAGAGUAAAUGAUUCUGAGGGAUG